rnacentral:rRNA from 1 species
GACGAACGCUGGCGGCGUGCUUAACACAUGCAAGUCGUACGGUAAGGCCCUUUCGGGGGUACACGAGUGGCGAACGGGUGAGUAACACGUGAGUAACCUGCCCACAACUUUGGGAUAACGCUAGGAAACUGGUGCUAAUACUGGAUAUGUGCUCCUGCUGCAUGGUGGGGGUUGGAAAGCUCCGGCGGUUGUGGAUGGACGCGCGGCCUAUCAGCUUGUUGGUGGGGUAGUGGCCUACCAAGGCGGCGACGGGUAGCCGGCCUGAGAGGGUGACCGGCCACAUUGGGACUGAGAUACGGCCCAGACUCCUACGGGAGGCAGCAGUGGGGAAGAUUGCACAAUGGGCGCAAGCCUGAUGCAGCAACGCCGCGUGCGGGAUGACGGCCUUCGGGUUGUAAACCGCUUUCAGCAGGGACGAAGCUUUUUGUGACGGUACCUGCAGAAGAAGCACCGGCUAACUACGUG